UACAGAGACUGCAAGCGUUACUCGGAUUCACUGGGCGUAAAGGGAGCGCAGGUGGGCAAGUGUGUCGGGCGUGAAAUCCUGGGGCUUAACUCCAGAACUGCGCCCGAAACUGCUUGUCUAGAGGAUUGGAGAGGCGGGUGGAAUUCCAGGUGUAGCGGUGAAAUGCGUAGAUAUCUGGAGGAACACCAACGGCGAAGGCAGCCCGCUGGACAAAUCCUGACACUCAGGCUCGAAAGUAUGGGGAGCAAAAGGG
rnacentral:rRNA from 1 species